UGCUCUUCCUAUGGUUUAUGCUGCGUGCAGGACAUCUCUUCUCUAUACCUUCUCUUUUUCCUUCAAAGCUCCCUUUUCUCCCUGAGCACUUUUGUACUUUCCUUUUUUUAAACAACAGAAAAACAUUUCUGUCCUAAAAUAAUUGGUAACCUUUCACAUCCGUCAAAUUUCUUGACCAAUUCAUAGCAGGGGACAAAUAGCCUGGAAGACACUGCUGGUCUCUAGCCCAUUCGAUAGCAAGCAGACACCCUCUGACUGAGGACUGUGAGCCCUGCACGCACCAAGAUAGUCCCUCGGCAUCACCAAGGCUGUAGGGCUCGGUCUAUGAGAUGGGCUUAAAAGCAGUGUGCAGCCUGGGGUGAAGACCACUUGGGAGGGAGAAGGGGGGGGGAGGAAGAAAAUGGGGGGGGUGGGUAAAUGGGAGGGAAGAAGGGGAGCGCUCACGCUGAGUCCAUGCUUGUCCCGCACUCUGCUCUUCACAGUGGCCCCCUUUGGCCCCCCAGCACCCAUGAAGUUGUCCCCCCAAAGUGUAAUUCAACAGGAGCCCCCUUGGCAAAACUCAGCAGUCCUGUGGCUAAACACUGUAUCCCAUUCGCUCUGUGCUCUCAGCACGCACCCUGCCUUCACCCCUUCCUGGAGUCCUUCCCUCCCUUGGCCUGGGCUUGGGGGCAGGGAGGGGUCAGGAUUAUGUGCCUGGUCUUUCCCAGAAACCAUUUGAUAAUUUUUUUACAGCUGAGAUAUUUUUGAGCAGGUUUUGAUUUUUAUUAGAUCUUUUUGAUAACAAAAAAUAGGUGUUUCUUAUAACAAAUGAAACAAUGUAACUAUAAAUGAAAAACAAUAGUUCUUCCCCCAAUCCUGCCUCACAUGAUUAACAAUGGCCUGGUUAUUCCUUCAGUCAUUCAAAUAUAUAUGUAAUAUCACUACAUAUAUAUAUGUAGUGUGAUCACAAUAUAUGGCAUGUGUUUUGGAUACACAAGCUUAAAUAUCACAUAGUUACUCUUAUAUGAGAAACCCAAAACAUACAGAACAAUAUGAUAGGAGGGAGAUAGAUGUUCUGCAAAUGAGAAGGGGGACCAAGCAAUGUGAGGAGGGAAGAUUAAAAAAAAAAUUAAGAUGUGUUGUGUACGUGUCCCAACUCUACGUGGGGAAUGUGACCAUUAGGUACUGCAAACAUGUAUUAGUAAAAGGUUAAAAAACACUUACAGAAAAAUACCACCCCCCAGCUUUGAACACUUAUCAUUCUUGCCACUUUCUGAAGUGGUUCUGGAAGUCCUCUUUCCCGAGUGACUUUAUCAGGUGUGAUUAAAAAAAAAUAGUGUGGGGCCGGGGAUUUAGCUCAGUGGUUCCAGCUCCUGCUUUGCAAGUACAAGGUCAUGAGUUUGAUCCCCAGUGCCCCCCCAAAAAACUCAAUGAAUGCUGGUGCUGAAUGCUAUCCAACAGAAAGAUAGGCUCACAAAAAAUACAUUAUGCUGUGUCCUCACCCAUCUUCUUCACUAGAUCUGGCACUGUGCAGCUUCUGGCUCUUUUCUAAAGUCAAAAUGACCAUGAAAGGAAAACGUUUUGAAAAAGAUUCAGGAUGUGGAAGCAGCCACAACAGCCAACUAAAGACACCCAGGAAAGAGGACUUCAGACCUGCUUCAGAACAGUAGGACAAGUGUGUUUGAAGCAAAGUGACAUAUUGUGAGGGGGAUUAAUAGCAAUAUGUCUUUGCUGUAAUGCUUUUUAAAAUUUGCAUAUUAGCCACAUUUUUUGAUCACACUGCAUGUACUUUUUUGGUACCAGGGAUUGAACUUGGGACCUUUUGAGGCAGGCAACGGCACCACUGAGCUAAGUCCCCAGCCCCACACUGCACAUCUUAAAGCUAACGUUUUCUUUUAAUGUCAUGGAAUUUAGUAUAGAUGCCAAAAUCUCCAGAGUGGCUACCAAAAUGCCAAGCAUAACUGUCACGUUCCCCACGACCAAUCCCAUCUGCAGAUGGAGGGACCAGGCGGUGGUGGAGCUGGGGCCCCAAAGCACACUGGCUGGUCACACUUGUGCCUGCUGCCCUGCCCUCCUCCUAGGGGCAGACUCUGGGGCUGGCCUGAAGAAGGGCUGGAGAAAAUGAUUCUUAUUCUCUGGCAGGUAUAUUUUCCCCAAGCACCUGGAUUUUAAAGGGGCAGAUGCUGCCUUUUUGAAGCAUGAGACAAAGAUCAAGUAGAUGAAUCUCAGGGGUGGUUUCCUGCUUUCCAUUUCCUUUGAAGUUACUGGGAAUAAUGGGGUUAGGAUCUGUGGGUUAGGGUAUGGGGAAGCCCCCCAGGUUGAGGCACUGAGGCCUGGGGUGGAGCCACAGAGAGGGGCCUGGCCCAGCUUUGGGGCCUCUUCACAUUGGACAUUUCCCCCUCAGGCUCCUGCCAAAGCCCUGAUUUUUUGUUUUACUUUCCCCCCUCCUUGCUCUUUAUUUCUGAAAUUUCUAUUUGAAGCUAAGAGAUUUCUUCCAUCUAAACUCAAGACAGCUACAGUAAGCCAGGAUUAACUCUCCCUUCAACCUUUGAGAAAUGGUCUCAGGAUAGGGGCAAGGAUGUUUAGUUUGCCAGGGAGUAAUAAGCAUCUGAGGUUACUCAUCAGUCCCUUAGGUGAAAACCCAGGAGGCUGCCAGAACCAGCCAGCACCUCCUGUCCUGGCCCUCAGGUUGCUCAUGGCUCAAAUGAUAGUGUUUUCUUUGCCCCUCAAGGUCUGACAGGCAUUGCUUGUCUUCUAUUUCCUAGUUGCAAGGUAUUUUUUUCAAUUUGGAACAUGUGUUCUAAUUUGAAAACGAAUGAGUUUUCUUCAGUAAAACUUGCCACCUUUCAAAGAGGUUUGCUCUAACCCAAGCUUAGACACUAGUGGCCAGAGCCAGAGGUUUGGGUGGAGAUGGGCCUGCUGGCUGUGUGCCCCCACUUUGGACUCCACCAUCUUUGGGCCCACCAUGGCCUGGUUAUGACACACACAUGGCCUUGCCCACCACGGAUCUGGAGCCACUUCUGCCAAAGACUGGAGGAAUAAGAAAAGCCAGUCCAGCCUGUUGGAUCAGUAACACAGAUAAGCAAGAGUAAGAAAGCUGUCCGUUCCUGAGUAAAAACACCAAAGCUCCACAACCCCCUGUACCUUCACAACACUGCAGAGUAAGCCAUGGCCCCCAAUUGUACCCCGAGGAUGCUGCUGCCCUAGGUAGCAACACUGCCAGCAGCCUCUACCCAAGGUAGAAAUGACUGUCAUCUACUCGUUUCAGGAGAGCAACGGGGUCCCCCAAGAAAUUAAGGUCUUUUUCAAAAUAGCAUUCUGGGGUCCCUUUUUGAACCUCUGUAGCUGUCAAUUCUACAUGGCUCUGCGGGGCUGGGAUGAAGCCCGGUGGGAUUAAGGAGACUUGGAGAUGUUUUAGAAUAAGCAGCUUCCGACUAUUAGUAACUUCACACCUACGGCUAAGGCUCAACCCUCCCUGCCCCCUUUCUUAGCCCAAAAGGACAUGAUCAUUCUGUUGUGGGUGUGAAGCAGCAGGUGCACCCAUCUGUGCUUCUACACAGAAUAGGACCACACACCCUCUCCAUCCCCACCAAGCCCCCGAAGGAAGUGUAUGACUCAUGGAUGCCUAUAGAAGUGUUAUCAGCCUGCGCACACAUGUGUGUGCCUGUACAUGUGUAUGUGUGUCUACAAACACAUGUAGAUGCAUAUCCUCUCUUCCUACUGAUUCUGCUCCACAAAUUUUUGCCAAAUCUGAUAACCAUGCUUUUUCAGUUCUGUCCCAUCCAGGUCUUCAGGUACAUGACUUUCAAAAAUCAUAAGAACAAAAGUCAACUUAUUUAACCUCGACAGUUAUAGGCUAGAGAGCCACUGUUUCCAGCUGUCCUUGUUGGCCCAGACCUCUCCAGGGUAUCCCCCUCCCAGAGUUCCCCAGAACCACACCGUCAACCAGCACGCACGGCAGGACAGCCAGCUCCCAGGGUUCCUUCUGGGUUGUGUUAUAAAGUCUGGCAGAGACAUCAACACAUGUCAACAUGUUCCUUUUGGUGACAUGUUUGUCUUUUCCUUGUUAGCUUUGGUUCAAGGCUGUAAAUCCAUAAGAGGAAGCGGUUUCCAAGCCUAAGCAAAAAGUGAGCAGAUGCACUUCAUGGACUUUGGGGUUUCUCUGUGCAGAUCUUCCCCUCCAUCACUUACCUCCCCAUUAUUUUUCUUAGAAAUCCAAAUAAAAAGGAUAUUUGGUGAUCAAAGUGAAUUCAACAGGCAGGGCAUGAAUGGAUACAAACCACCAAGCUCCCAGUGAGCUAUGUCUAUGGUCAGAUGUUGAUGAGAUCCAUCCUGGUCCCCAUAUUUGUUGCCUCUGAAGGGAUUGGAUCCUUCUCUCUGCUUUUUCAUCUGAGCCUCUGCAGUUCUCUUGUUCUUUGCUCUGUUCUGUCUCUGCUCUGGUUUGAACCCUGCUAUGUCAGCUCUCUUGUCUCCUUUUUAUUAUUCAAACCGUCUUUGAGCUGUUGGCAUUAGUUCUGCAGGGUGCCUGGGAGGGAAUUCUGAAAGCUCCAAAAUGGUCCCCCUCUACCUCCAGUGGAAGAGGAGGACCCAGGAAACCCAGCAAAACAAGUCCGGUUUUAUUGGUUCUUCCUCUGAGUAAAAAACUGCUCAAGUUUUGAACAAAUUCGUAUACAGCAUAAACACUUAUCCAGAGUUAAAUCUAAAUCCAUCCAGGCAGUUUCAUGUUGACAAAAGGUAAGGAUUUACCAUGUUAGGGUAUCCAAAAGAAUUUGCCAUAGACUCUGAAGAAAUUUAAAGCAGAAGACUGCACAUGGCAGGGAAGAGCAUGUGACACAGGUGACCAGGUUCUGACCCACAACUGAUUCUGGGCACCUGUGAACAAGUUACUACAUCACUUCACACCUCAUAUAUUCCAGCUUCUGUUAGAAGCCUUUUAUGACUCUGUCAUUCAUAAAUUUGUCCGAACUCUUUUUAAUCCAUUUACAUUUCCUGUCUGCACAGCCUCUCAAGGUAAUGAGUUCCAUAACUUUAUUACGUGCUAGGAGAGAAGUAUUAUUUCCUUGUUUUCCCUAAACUUACCUCAAGUUCCAAACUGCCUGCUUCCCCUAGGAUUUCAGAAUUGGAUGACCAAGUUCAUCCAUAAAGUUCUCCUUAUAAACUGAAGGUAAAAUCAUUUUAGGUGGCUUCGUAAAGUGGCAGCCCACCCCAUACCUUCCCCUGACUAUUCGAGUCAUAUGACAAAUAGUUCAUACCAUGAACGGAGCUGUGGAUGGUGUAGAGAUGCCCUGGUUCCAAAUGACCAUGAGUCAGAAGAGCCUCAAAGUCUGAAGCACAGGCUGCAGAGCAGACCGAUCAGGCAUCCAUUCCAGCCCCUGACUGUGUGGUGCCCUGGACCUGCACUCCCUCAUUUGGAAGAUGGAAAACACUACCUACCUCAGGACUUGCUGGUCUUAAGAGAAUCCAAAAACAGUGCAGAAGAGGCCUUACCCACCCACCUUUGGCCCUGAUGGUGAGAGACAUGCUCCAAAGAACAGGAAGGAAACCAUCACUUUCACAACUGACUUUGUGUAGCUCCCAGCAAGGACAUCAGAAGAGGUGACCCACAUUGCAAGAAUGAAAUGGAGGAGCCAGCCUGCCAGGGGACGCCACUCACCUGUCACCAGAUCCUAUGCUCUUGUGACACCUGUUUUCCCUAGAAAUAAUUCCUACCAUUGGUGAAGCUCCUCAAGUUCCCAUGGCCUAGGGCAGGACCUGUACCAUGUGCCAAAUUCUGUGCUGCUGCUUCUGCGAAGGACACAAGAACAGCACAUGCUUGGGGAUUGCCCUUCCUGGAGGAGAUGGCACAGGAGCAGCUGGAUAGGACAGUGAAGGGCCUGCAGUGUGGCUGGAGCUCUGUGUGUGUUCCCCAGGGUGGAUGGGGAACCCCAGGAACUGGAAACAGGCCAGGAGAAGAGAUGACACUCAGAGAUAUGACUUAAGUAUAAGGCUGUGACAAAAUGAGAAACUGGAGCCAGGGAUUUAUCUCAGUGGUUCCACUGCCUGCCUCGCAAGCACAAGGUCCCGAGUUAGAUCCCUGGUACCAAAAAACCAAAAACAAACCAAAAAAAUGAACCGAAUAGAACCUCUUAGAAGGAGUAAAAAUAGCCGAAAGAGUUCAACGUAUCUGGCCAUUAGAGGGAAUACAAAUUAAAAUAAUAUUGAUAUUCCAUCUUGCCCCAGAAAGAAUGGCCAUCAUCAAUAAAUCAAUAACAAAUGCUGAUGGGGGGUGGUGGUAAAGGAAUUCUUCCUACACUGUUGGUGAGAAUGUAAACUGGUACAACCACUAAUGGAAGUCAGCAUGGAGAUUCCUCAAAAAACUGAAACUUGAAAUUCCAUUCCACUCAGUUAUUUCCCUUCUAAGCAUCUUCCAGAGAGAGUCAUCAUACUACAGUGAUAUAUACACACCCAUGAUUACAGCACCAUAGCUCACAGUAGCUAAAUCUUGGAAGCAGCCUAUAUGUUCAUCAACAGAUGAAUGGGCUGAAAUUUUACUGGAGCUUCCUUUCUGGGCUAACAUUUUAAGUCAUUCUGCUGGGCUCUUUGCUCUUGAUUCUCAACGUAAAUUGGGCUAAAAACCCCCAACAGUAGCCAUGCCACAGCCUCAUUAGACUGCCGUGAAAUUUCUUCUGCCAGAUUAGUUAGUCCGCCACCCUAAAUCUGUUUCAGGCAAAGUCUCUGGACAACAGAAAAAUGCAGACAAACCUUCUCCCAAGGCAUAACCCACAUCAUCUGGAGUGCCUUCUUCCCAGCAGAAACCUCCUAAGCCUGUUUCUAUCCGAAUUCUGGUCUUCUGAGCUCUGGCCAGAAUCUCCCAUCAAGUACAGCCUCAGGCAUUCCAGCUCUGUUUUCAGCCAUCUGCAAACCUUUCCUAACUCUUCCCCUUCCCACAAGCCAGCUCCAAAGGCUCCUAAACCACAUGGUCAAGUAUAGCCACAGCAACGGCCCCACACACUGGAGACCGAAGGAUUCAGUCAAAGAUCUGGAGUUCACUGCAGUGUCCCAUUGAAGUCAGUAUUAGGAAGCCAGUUGGUCUUCGAUGGAAGGCAGAAGAAUAUACACCAGAAGGCUGAAGGCUCUGCACCAGACCCUAAAGAGUCUGACCUGGAAGCCAGGAGAUAACAUCCAAGGUGAAGAUGAAGACUAGAGCUCCUCUGAAGAAACAGAAGCAAAUCCAUCCCUCGUCAUUUCUCCUUUAUACCAUCCAGGCAACAAGUCCCCCUAGGGUAUGAAAUUGCUGAGGCAAUUUAGUUGAGCUUCUCUUACUCAAGUUGACACAGAGCAAAAUAGAGAGAGAGGUCCUUUGGCCCUUCUCCAUUGUGGAAAGUUAAGUUACACAGAUGUCAGGGCAGGCAGUCAGAAAUGGGAGAAGGCAAUGACCUGAGAGGCCAGGGACAAGUGCAGCAGUGGGUGCCUGUCAACACCAGUCCUGACAACCUCUUUGCAAACCAUUUCCUACCAAAGCAUCUGUUCCCGUCACUGUCUAAAACAUUCCAAUGAAUCCCAUUCCUCUCAGGGGACAGGGACAGAAGCCCUUCCUGUGGUUUGUGGUGAAGCCAUUGAGGUCCUCUGUGACAGGCACUGGACCUCCUCAGCACCUCCUCAGCACCUCUGCUCCAGCUGCCUUCUGCAGCAGGAUAACUGCUCUAACACAAGCACCUCUUCUUUCCAGAACAUCCUUUUCCCUCCCCAAUUACUCCCCUUCUUUGUCUCUGCCAGUUCUCAGCAACUCUCCCUUAGAGCGUUCAUCCCAGAAGAAAUUCCUUAUGUUGCAUUUUUUUAUUUGACUUACUGAGCUCUUCCCCAUUGUCCUCUCUAUCCUGAGGGCAAGAACAAGGAGGCCAUCUGGAUUCUGCUUGCAGUCUUAUCUCAAGGCCUGGCUCAGCUGGCUCCGAGAAGCUGCUCAGUAACCCUUUGUUGGGUAAAUAAAUGGAAAAUGAAGAAGCUAAGGAAUGAAGGCAGACUAAGAUUGCUUCUUUCACCCCGCCGUGUCCAAUCCACCUUCAAAAUGAGGGUUCUGCCUAUAUCUGAUCACUUCUCCCCAUCACUGGCCAGGCGUAGGCCACCAUUGACCUCACCAGGAUGACCAUAAGAGCUUCCUCUUGGGCUUCGCUGGAUCCCUAGUUCAUUUCAGACCAGGCAAUGAGAACCCUUUAAUACAAACACCAAACUUGACCCCAUCCAAGUACUCCCUACAACAGAGGACUGGGACAUUUUCUUGCGGCCCGGCCCUUAAGAUGCUUGGCUGUCAUUCCCAACCCAUCUCCUGCCCCAGCUACUCUGGACACCGUGCUGCUGCUCCACACCCACCGCUGCCUUGUCUCAGGGACCCAAUAUGCCUGCCCGGAAUAUAUUUCCUCAGUUGCUGCCUUCCCUCUUCAGGGUCUCUGCUCAAUAGCUACCUUCUCCAAAAGCUGCUCCUGGCUAUAUCUGAGCUAACAUGCCCUGUCCUACCCCCAGUGCUUUGUCACCUACAGCUUUACUUUACCCCAUAGGGACUGUGACUUUUUACAUAUUACAUGUGUCCUGUCUUGUAUCUCCAAGAAGCUUAGAAAGCCCCACAAAGCAAACGUCUAUUGUUCUACACUAUAUUUGGAGCCAGAAAAGAGGCACAUGACAGUUGUUGAGUAAUUGUUUGCUUGCAGAUUGAAUAACUGGCAGGAGAGAGCGUGCACUGUGCGUUGUUGCCUGUCAUACAGUAGUUGCUUAACAAACUAUUAACUAACAGUGCUAUUACAUUUCCAAAGAUGCAUCAUCAUUAAAACCAUGGCAAAAUGAUUAGUUGUGUGGAUUAAUUUCUAAAUAUUUGGGAAUUUUUCUAGUCCUCUUUAAAUAAUUCAAAUUGAAUUCCACAGUAGUCAGAAUGCAUACUCUAUUAGUUCAGUCCUGCCUUACAGAGCAGCCACUGAGCAAGAGUAUGGCGAUGGAAGGUAAAGCAAGGAUAGGCUGAUUGGGACUGGCAUUUUUGAUCUCCAGUUUUCAAGACUGAUUAUUUUCCCAUUAGAUCUUAUUGGGGGGGAGGGAUACAGGUAAUACAUAUGUUGACUUGAUUCUGUUAAAGUACCCGCAUCCUAUAUCUUACAUGAAGUAAAAUAUUAACUCAAGUGAAAGAUUGGGUGUGUAAUCUCUAGACCAGUCACAAGAUAUAGAUUGGGUGUGUAAUCUCUAGACCAGUCACAAGAUAUAGCCAAAAAGUGAAUAGAUAAAUUAUUCAAAUAAUCCAAAACAAGGCAGGAAUGUAAGGGAGAAAAACCGAGGGAAAAACAAAACAUAAUAAAAUGGUAGACCUAAAUCCAAGCAUAUUAACAGUUCCAUUAAAUAUAAAUUGCCUAUACAUAACAGUUAAGACAGAUUCACGAGAUACAUGAUCUGUAUCUCAGUGACAAUCCUCGUGUGGUGACUACUGAGGAGUCUGGGGACAAUGGUUUGCUGGGGGCAUGUGUUCCAAAUAGAGGAAAAAGAGGGGAACAGAUUGGUCCAGAAAGAGUUUAAUGCAGAGGCUUAUUAUUCUUGUGUGGAAAAUUGACUCAUAGUCACCAAAUGUUGACCAACUUUAGUUGUUUUGCCAGAUGACCACCUGCUGGAUUGGGUGGUACACUGCCAUUUCCCCCCUCUCUCUAGGCAUGAAUACCCUGGGACUUGCAUAGCUGCAUGUUGGAGGCCGAGGGAAGUCCUAACCGCUAAGCACCUAAGUCUAGGAGUUAGCCUCAUUUAGCUCAGGUUUUGCCUCUGCACCAGGAUGGGAAACUUCCUACAGUUACUUAACCCUCUGCUUUUGGGACUUCCAUUCUUUGCCCAGAGAAAUCUCACCUUCACUUCUGGUGCUGUUGCUGUUGCCCUGGCAACUGCCAUAAGAAGAACUGGGCUUUGUUUAGAGGCAUGAUAGGAUCUCACCUACCAGAAACUCUCACUAGCUGACCAAAGCUAACGCCCAUGGUUUCUAGAGAAAUACAUAUCAUGAUGGAUGUGCUUUCUACACAGUCCAAUGAAGACAUUCAUUGUACUUAAUGGUCCUAUAUAUCAGGCUCGGUGUAAUGUUCCAAAAUAUUUUAGCACCACGGAAAAGCUUUAAUUCUUUAGAGACAUCAUAUUUCCCUUUAGGCUAAGGCUGCUGGGAACAUUUGAGUGAACCUUGGUUAUCAAAGGAUUUUACUCUGUCUUGGGCAUCUCUCAUUCAUAUUUUUCUUAAUUUUCUGACUCCUUUUAUUGCAUGACAAAACUGCAAGUUCAGUGCUCCACGUUCCAGGGUAUGUUGCAUAAGAAAAAAGCUGUCACUAAGAAAGUUCACUGAAUGCAUAGAGGAUGUUAUCCAUAAUGGAAAUUUAUCGAAACGUGUAUAAAUAAUAUAUAACUAGAACACUACUCAACUUGUGAUUAGACUGAUCCCAGCUCAUCUACUCAGAAAUGAUCCAGAGGAAGAAGAAAAACACAAAGAGGGCAAAAGAGACACAAAGACAAAUCUGCUUGACUACCACACAGGGAUGUCUAGGACCAUGGCAAAGUAUCCUAAGGCCCCAGAACAUGUGAGAAAAAUCAGACACCUGCUGAAUGCCUGGCAGUGUUCUGUAGCAUAAUGGUGGAGAUAACCAGAGGACACAGUUCCUUCAUAGAGGAACUUAUGAUGCAAUGGCUCCAAAGACGCAGCUUCUCCUCCCCACCUUAUAUUAUUGCCAAUGCUUAGCCCUUAGGAGAAGUUGGAUGUGGAAUGCAGGGAGCAGGCACUGAUGGUUCCUCACAUCAUCAGGGUUAACACAGCACAGCCAACUAUUCACCAUCAUUCUAUCACACCAAUGGAGAGAGACCAGGAAGGGGCACUGUGAUAUAAGAAGCUCAACUUGCCUUAGCAAUUCCACACCCUAAGGUUGGAAGACCCAACCUUGGGUGACUUGUUGCCUGGAUGGUGUAAAGGGCAAAUGAAAAAGGAUGGAUCUGCUUCUGUUUCUUCAGAGGAGCUCUAGUCUUCACCUUCACCUUGGACAUCAUCUCCUGGCUUCCAGUGCUGAUUCUUCAGCUUCUGGUGCAGAGCCUUCAGCCUUCCACUGCAGACCCAUCGACCUCCGGAUUCAGACUCACACAGAACACUGCAGUGAGCUCCAGACCUUCGACUGAAUCCUUCGGUCUCCAGUGUGCAGACAGACCCCCUGCACUCUUCCACAUCCGACUCUGUGGGUGGUCAUUUCCUGCAGGUAGCUGCGAGCAGCUGAAGGUUUUGGAAUGUGAUGUCAGGAUUUGAUUUCUAUCUUGGAGCAGUUUUGGAAAUGGACCACAAAUCAACGAAAUAACUGACCCACCAGCUUGGGAGUAGAGACAGGAGUUAUGGUGCCCUUUAAGCCCAGCCCCUCGGCGGCCACAGCCUGAGAACCUAUAGGGUUUGAAAAGUCCUUAUACAAGUUCACAGUUCCUCUGAGCUAAAAAAUAAAUUCAGAAUAAAACAGAUCACAGUUGUCUGACAUUUCUAAAAUUCUCCUUAUCUGGUGUCACGGGGUCUGCCCGGAUGGAGAAGGGGCAGAGAGGCUGUCUGCACCCUGGAGUGGAGGGAAUGGGAAGGCAGCAGCGGGUGGCAGAGGAUCUGGUCACAGUUGCCCAGUUUCCUCUUUGCUGUCUCUGAGAACCAUUGUUUUGUGGCCUGGGUCUAAAACAGAGACAGAUCUGCGAUUGUGCCAAGAAAAACUCCCUGGGCCAGCUCUGAGACUACUGCACACACGGGCGUGGACCAGUGCAAGUGUGUUUCAAAAGCAAACAGUGGUGUGCAGUCCCUCACACGCGGGCAAAGCGAUUGACCAUGACUUGUGGGGUCACGGGCUCCUCCAAUGCCCUUCAACCCGAACUCACAAUUGGUCGUCCUAGGAAACAGAAGCCAGGGGGCUCCCAGUUACCCCUCACUCAAUUCUGCUGGGAAGACUGACAAUCGAGGAGAUUAGAGCCGCUCUGCAAGCCCAGAAGGGGUGGAGCCGAUGCUGGGGCCAGGGGUCGUGUUUUGGGGUCAGAGGCCUGGGAGCUUCUGCCAUCGACCCCUGCCUGAAGGUUCAAGUUUGAUCUGUCAUUUGCAAAUGCCUGUGUCAGAUAAUUCAUCUCCUGUGGCCACAGCACAGUGUGACUUGGCUGGAGGAACGAAGCAUCGUGGAGAAAAGCAGCACCCAGGACAUCACAGAAAACUUUAAAAGAUUCCAAGACGGGCCCUGCCCUAGGCAGAGACAGCAGAGGUCAAAAAUUCACUCCAGGCCUGCUGGGGACUAGGAGCCUGGGGAUAGAACGUGGCUCUUCCCCAAGAUAGGGUCCCCAUCUGGGGCACUCAGACACCCUGGACCAGCCCGGUCCACCCCAUAGCUUCCCACCCAACCCAGCAUCGACCUGGUCACCCUGCCUCAGAUGAGAGAAUGGAGUUGACAGCCAGGGGUGGGGCAUGUGGACUGUGGAUGCAGAACCGAGGAACAGAGAUGGAAACAUGUCAGCUGCCCAGGGGCUGUGGCGGAGGUAUCCACAGAAGGCCACCAGGGAGAGCAGCCAAGUGCCACUUGGCUCUUUGCAGAGAGCACUGCAGCGGCCACAUGUGCUGAAACUUGGGAGGGAGGCGAGCUCUGUGAGCACCACAGCAUCACCCACUGGACACCUGGUCCUGCCCUCCUGGAUCCCCUCUGCCUGGGCCCUCUCCUCACACACAGCCAUGUGAGCUCCCAGACAGAUAUAAUAUUGCACGUGCAAUGUUAUGUGACACACAGGCCAUCACAACCCGACCAACCAGCCCAUCGUGAGUGACACGCGUAGUCCGAUAAUGCCCUUGUGCACAGCACAAUCAAGACCCUUGAACCUGGCUCUGUGACGUGAGUGUUCCCACCCGGUAUGCUGAGGUCCCUUAUGGCAGGGUCCCUUGAGAGCUCUGCCCUCACCUCCAUUUCCAAACAGGUUCCUGGUGGGAGGGGUGUCCCAGUGGGCAUGUGCAGCACCAUGUGUAGUUCUUGAACCCAGGCCACCCACACAGCCCAAUGGGCAGAUCCCAGAAGACAUCCCCAUAUAGCAAGGAUGGGUUCACACUGAGGAUGACGGCAGGACCAGUCUCGGGGUCUCCCCUAGGUGCCGUGGGCCCACCUGUCUCCCCUCUUGACUGCUCACCUCCCCACCACCACCUGCUGGUCACAGUAGCAGAGGCAGACCCCCUCAGUGUCACCACAGCCUACACUCAGGUAGGUGCCGGCAGCUGCAGCCCUGCUCUGUGAACUGCUGAUUCCUAACGCUCCUGCCCUUUGAUAUCCCUGGAGGUUUACAGAUAAAAAGUCCCCAGAGUGUUGGAAGGCUCAAAGAUCUGUGGCAUUCAAGCCAACCACUCAGACCACAAAUCUGAAUUUGUGGAUCACCCAAGCAUCACCACCACCCUGGAGUCUCUCCCUGUCCUCCCAUGACUGCCACACCUCCCAGUAGUCUGGAUGCUGCAUCUGUUUGCAUCCAAGACGACCCUCAGGGUGUCGCCUGUCUUUUUCACUCCUCAGCAAACAUUGAUAGAGCCUGGCACAUUAUGCCUGUUCAAUGUAUUCUGGGCCCCAAGACUCGGGUUAAUAAAACUGCCAGUCCCUGGCCUCCUAGGUCUUAUAUUCGGGUGGGGAGAAAGACAUAAACAAACAGCUAAUGGAGUGUGAUGAGCACUAAAGAUAAAAAUAAAACCAACAGGAUGGAGAAGUGACAGGGUGGGCAGCAGCAUGGGGACUUUGAAGGGCUGUCAGAAAAGCCCCUGUGUAGGGGAAGCAGCAGGGGGUGCCUCUCAGGGACAGUGGGCCAGGAGGCCUCGAACCUUUGCAGAAAACAGACUCCAUUCCCUCAGCAAUGAAAUUGAAUAAAUAGCAAUAAGAUCUCCAAUCCCUUAUGUUAUCACACUUGGCCAUAUCAUGUGCCUGUCCAUCCAUUUCUGCAUUCACUCCUCAUAACUCCCUGGCUAUCAUUCACACAAGAUGCUGAAGCAGAGGUCCAAAGAUGGGAAGGGGCCUUCCCAAGGCCGUACAGAGAAAAGCCAGUGGCAGGACUAGAUUAUUGGGACGUCUCUUUCCCAGCUAUGUGCUCCCUAGGAAAAUGGGUCAUGCUGGAUGACUCUACUAUAUUCUGCUGAACAUUCCUACCCCAGGUGCCUGAUUAGAACUGAGAAAAGCCCAUUGUGAGCAGCCCCGAUUCCCUCCAGUCUGACUCCAAUAUAGCUACAUGGUUACUGGUGGGGGGAUUAGUGGAGGACAUAGCUACCCCACUCUUAGAUCGUAGGAGCUGAAGCCAGCAAAAAAGAGCUAGAGAGCAGCAGUGUGUGAACUCUGUGUACCAUAUUUGGCUGUCACUGCUGCAUACAUAUCUACUCACCCUUGCCCACCUUUGUGUGUUUGAGUGAAUUUCUUCUGGACUAUUGACACAUAGAUCCCAAAUUUGCUCAUAUCGACAGACUCUAAGGUAGGAAAUCUCCAGUUUCAUAUGAGUUUAGUCAAAUCUAUUUUCCUUUAUGACCUCAGUUUCUCUUGUGAAAUGAACAUUUUGAAUUAGAUGGCCUGUGAGUUUCUGGCAUCCUACAAUUCUACAUGUGUAAACAUGUACGAUUGGUUGGGGACCCAAAGUAAGCCCUACUGUGAGGUGCUGUAUCAUACCUGGCUGGAGACUUCUGAGUCAUUGUCUCAACAAAGAUGUUUUUCCCAAAACAGAGCUUCCCGUGGUACAGAGUCCACUUGUUUCUUCAAAAUCCGCAGCAGUUGCUCAUUGCAAAACCAAGGCAGGGCAAAGCCUUCAGGAUGCGAAUGGGAACAAAAAGGAUGCAGGAAGGAACAAGAAAGCAAGAGGAGGAGAAAGAGAAAGGCAAAGUGAAGAAAAAAGUGGUGGGUGGAAGGGAUGCAGUGACAGGCUCAGGGACAGGAAAUGUCUUAGUAAAAGAUUUCCAGAGUUUUGUAAUCUGUUUCUUGUAUAAGGCAUAUGGGCUUCAUUAAUAAGAAGGUGGGUGGGUGCCUUAGUUAUUUUUCUCAUUGCUGGGACAAAAAAUGCCCAACACUCACAAGUUAAGGGGAGAAAGGUUCAUUUAGCUAAGUUUGUAGAGGUUUCAGUCUAUCAGAUGGCUCCAAGGCAGGGUGGCACAGCAGACAGGCAUCGCAGAAGAGAAACAGUUCAUGGUGGGCAGAAGGUAGCAAAGCAAGCAGGUGGCGACCACAGCUCUUUCCUUCCAUUAUGUCUUAUCCAGGCUACUUAGGGUGAGUAGCACUCACACCAUGAAUCAAUCCUAGCAUCACAUUCUAGAUCCAGCCACCUGUGAGAAGCCCCAUGUAUGACUGCACGAGCCUUUAGGGGAACAUCUAGACACAAACCAUAACUCUGUGUGUGUGUUGCUGCAAGUAUUAAUCACAUUGGUGACAAGCAGAUGAAAUCGGCUGGGUGUGCCACAUGCAUAAUCUUUCCUCAAACUGGAACCCGUAUAUUCAUCCUUCAUGGGCUGAUAUCCAGGAACACUUGCCUCUCAUGCUUACCACUUAUUCUGGAUGAACCCCCAAAUUCUCUUACCCAACCCUAUCACUGAUUACUCCCUCUCUUAGAGGAGGAAGUGUUUUCUUCUCCCAGCCAAUUUCAGCCAAAGAAAAAUCUUAGUUCAGGUUCUUUGUGUUGCUCCACUUUCUUCUUUCUAGUUCUUUCCCCCAUCACACACAUAAGUCCUUCUAGUUUUCACCUUCACCCUUUCCUAGAGUAUCCUAGUCAUUCAGAAAUAACCUUUAAAAGGCGGGGUACUUGUGUCCCAAAGAGACCCAAAGACUUGCUGGAGGAAUAAUGUAAGGGAAAUCCUCUUCUAGAUCCUCAACAUCCACAAACACUAGUAUGCUCAGGCCUGUCAGACAAAGUGGUGUCUAUGUGCAAGUAAGGCAGGGGAACACUGAGGGAGCAUUACUGCCAGAGAUAAAGUAAUGGAAGACUGUGCUGUAAUCGGAAUCGGAGGCCGCUGUGCCCUCAGAGAUGUUGGGAGACAUGGUCACAGAGCUCAAAAGACUGGAAGCCAGCAGAAGAUAAACCUGUGGCCAGCCGACCUUAGGUCCCACCUCCCCAUGUCUGUGCCAUUGCAUAGUCCUCUCCCUUUGGGAAUGUGAGCACCUAUGGCCAGCCCUAACCAAAGGAACAUGGCAAAAGUCACUUCACAAGCCACUCUGGUACACAAGGCUUUGGAAGGACCAGUCCUUGGGUCUCCCUUUCUCUCACCUCCACUGUCAGGGAAAUUGCAGGGAGUUUCUAGGAGCCCAGGCUAGUCUCAGACUUGCAAUGCUUGGAAAGAGAUUCUUCUAGCAAUCCCUGUGAAUCCAGGGGCUCCUUCCCAUUGAUCCCCUGAGGAGAUCACAGGCCUGACUGGUGUUCUGCCCACAGCUAGCAGAGAACCAAGCUCUUCUGUGCCCCAACUUCUGACUCACAGAAACUGAGAGUGUAGAUGGGAGUCGUUUAAGUCACUAAGUUCAUGGCAUCUGUUACACAGCAGUACAAAACUUAAGCAGCUGGAGAUGGUGGGGAGGCUGGGCUGAGGAGCACAGGUUUUAUCACAUAGGCCACCAGGAACCAGGCUUGCUCUCAGCAAGGAAAAGCCACAGAAGUAAGUUUGGGGACAGUCACUCUGACCGCAGGGCAGGAGGAAACUCGAGAACAAGGUGGAAGCCUUUUAUCUUCCAGGAAGUCAGGGAUACACCAGUGAGCAUGAGGCCUCAGACCCAGCAAAGCCAUUCAACCUGUAUUUACUGACUAUUUACAGGGUGUGGUGUUCAGGGGAGAGGAAUACGGGGAGAAUGACCCAGCAUGUUCCCUGCCUUCUGAAAUGUUAGGGUAGGUUCAGAAAUGUGUAUUUAAGCAGGCAAAACUUGGUUGGUUGGCUCUGUUUCUUUUCCAUUUGACAGUGUAGGACACUGCCCAGAAGGGAUGGAUCGAAGCCUCUUCCUGGGGGCAGAGGGCUCCUGCGUGGGGUAACGCUGAGGUCCAUCCUGAAGGAUGAGCCAGGACUGCACAGGCAGGGGUAGGAUUUCAUGGCCCUCCAAUGAUUGCUUGGUGUGAGAGAAAACUCGAGUUGGUUAGAAAGCAAGCCUAGAGCUGGGAAUCUUGGAAAAAGAGCUCUUUUUCCCUUCUCAUCUGCCUGGAGUGCUGAGUACUUCCGUGAUCUGUUAAAGAAGGAUCCACAGGAGAGCUGAGGUGCACUGGUUAUGAAGGAGAGAAGGACUUAACUGAGUUACCAGGAUGACUUAGAUAAGGACGAAGCUGCAGAGAGAGCCUUUGUUUGGGGAGCACCCAAGAGCCAAGAAUGUGGCAGAGAGUUAGGGAGGGGGGUGUAGAGAAGACCAUCUGCUGUUAGAGAGUAUCGAGAAAUUGGAAAGUUAUUUUGGGACCAAAUGUGUACCUCAAAAGACAUGAUCAAUUCCAUUCUAACCCUGAUGUUUUUGGCCCACCCAGGAUCCCAGUACUGCCUAUUUAUCUCCUUUGAAUCGCUUCCUGUUAUUUGGGAUAAAAUCCACGCCCCCCCCCAUCAUCAUACACAAGGCACCACCCCUUCCAGCCUCUGCUCCCCUCUUUGUCCCCCCUGUUCUCCCCCUCUCCCCCCGCCCUUCCCCCAAUUUACACCCCCAGGCUCCCAGUGUUCUGGCCUCUUUCUCAGUUCACUCAGUUUCUUCUGUCCCUGGGUCUUUUCCAUACAUUAGGCUUGGGGGGGACACAGGCAGGUGAGGGCACAUUCCAGGCAGAACUCCUUGACCUCACCCCAGUUUGAGCUCCCCUCCUUCGCCUGCUCCCAACCUGAAUCCUGUCCUUUCUCUUUCAAAUAAAGCAUUGAUCCUACUGUACCUCUUGGAUGUCCUGCUGAAUUCUUUGUUUGGGACAAGACCCCAGGCCAGCAAUUCACCCUCUGUUGAAGUAGAACCCAGGGUAGAUGGCAGGGUAACGAUGUAACACUGGUGCCUCUGCCACUGACACAAGUGGACACCGCUAACUGAGAGCAAGGAAAAUACUCCAGCCAGCCCUCAGGACAAGGCGGGCAUCGUCACAGCGGGGCUGAACUGCACCCACUUCCAGCAACUCAUGACUCUCAAAAAAGCAGCAUUGGAAGCAGGAAGAUCUGGCUUGGCGUCCCUCUCUCCAGAGCCACUUUUUCUGGACAAGGCUUCCUGGAGCGUUCUUCAGGAAAUUAGCAAAUGCCUCUGCUUGGAACGUCAGGUUGCAGGAACGCAUGGCCAGGCCAGAAAGCGCCUCCAGAACCGCAGAGAGCAGCCUUCUCCUUUGCAGGAGCUUCUGGGAGCCCAGGCCUUGACCACAAAAGGGGCAGCAAGGAGCCAGCCACCAGCCCUGUGCCAGUGACCUUCGGGGCCCAACCCAGUGGGCUGCUCAGAAGACUGGCAGCAAUCAGUUAAAUUCUCGAAGCCUCGGUUUCUUCCUGUGCGGUGGAGACAAUAAGAGAACCAGCCUGGAGGGACUGUGCCCGGGGUUGGCCCAGGCAGGGCACAGGGCACGCACCUCACCCAUUCUUAAACCCUCACAGGCAGACUGGGCACCUCCUAUGUGCCGUCUCCCUUAGAGACUUGGAGCUAUAGCCAAAGAAAAGGGGGGAAAGGAAAGCCUACUUGGGGGGCAGUGUUUGAGGAAGAGGCACCAUUUUAACUUUUUAAAAAUUAUUAGUCCCUGUUUGCAAUACAUAAUGGCUACAUUCAUCAUGAAGAGUGGCCACAUGUAUGUAGCACAGUUUAAUUCUUUAUCACCUUCCUCCCCCCUCACAUCUCUCCCUCCACCAUUUAAUAAACUGGUAAGGAUAGGCCCCGUUGAGAAAGUGGCUCUAAAAUUAGCCAGGUAUGGUGGCGUAGGGCUAUGAUCCAAGCACUGGGGAGGCUGAGGCAGGAAGAUUGCCACCAGUUUUGAAGUCCACUUGGGCUACAUGGUGAGUUCAAGACCAGCCUGAACUUCAUAGUGAGACCCUGUCUAAAAAAUCCCAAUAAAUAUAAAAGUAAUUCAAUAAGGCAAAUGUUCUUCCUGACCUUGUCUUCACUCAUGAAGGACAUCUAUGUGCAGCUGGUCUCCCACCCUAGUUCCCCCCCUUGAAGUUGGAACCCAGUGACCCUAUCUGGGUGGAUGUGAGCAGGGACAGUGUAAGCAAUCUCAGAGACCCUGCUCUCGCCCCUCUGAGGCUCACUGGGCCCAGAAGUUACCUCCGUUGAUUCUGGGGCUGGAAUUGGUCACCCUUUGCAGCAGACCUUGCACUCUGACUCUGGGAAAGUAGAGGGGUUAGGACCAGCAGAGCCCAGGGCCCGCCUCAGGCCACUGUGAUGCCCCAACAGGGGUGAGGGAUUUGGGGAGACUGCUCUGCCUGCCUACAAGUACAGCCUCGCCAUGCCCUCCCACCCCGUCCAUGAGCGGAUACUUCUCCCCUCCCUCCGAGUGCCAAUCCUUCCAAAUCCUCUAGCUGGUCUCGGUUUGACUUCAGCACCAGCGGUGAGAGGGGAGAUUUAUGUCCACCACUUUCUGUGGAGAGGGUUUCACAGAAGACGUAUUGUUCCUAGCAAGAUUUUCACCAGGGCUGUGGAAGAGGCCAGAAAUCCCCUCCCUGGUAGUAGUGUCACAUUUCUUUGAAGUCGUUGACUCUGAAAAAGAAAGAAAAACGUAUAACCAAUUUCAGCUGAGAUGUUUGCGGGGGUCUAUAUUUCAUGUUAUAAGUACAUGUGGGCAUAUGAUGUGAUACAAGAGUACACAUGUUGAAUCACAUGAUCGAAGGGUCAGAAGGGCUGGAUGAUAGGAUUUUCCUCCGCUGCCCUGUAAGAGCGACAUGGGUCCAUCUCCCAAACUGAGGCAGAGGGGACUGACAACGCCAGACCUUCAUCCCUGGCCUAAAGUGUUACAAUUAAUUUUAAAACAUUCUAUUUAGUUUAAGAUGAAUGUAAAGGCAAAGAAGUUAAUAAAACCUGCUUCCUUUCACCAGCUCAUUAGAAAUCCCUGGAACACAGUGUUUAUAAUUCAUACCUGUAGAGUUUUCCUCACCAAGUCAUCCAGUGUUUACUAUGCUAGGUUCAUUUUUGCAGCAACAAAAAGAUUCCACUUAUAAUAGUGAAAAUUUGUGGCAAGGGGCUCACAUAAUUUUCUCUUGAUUGUAUCUAAAAUAUAAAUUAGUCACCCUCUAGGCAUAUUCUGAUUUUAAUUAUCCUUCUUGUAAGAAUGUGAUGGAGGUGGGAGAAUCAUGUUCUAGGAAACAAGAAACAUGGUCACCUCCAGCUCUGACACCAGGUGAUUGAAUACUUGUGGGUUGUUUAUGGUUCUGGCCUCGGCCUGCUCUUCUGUGAAAUGGGAGGAUUGUGAGAGGUGACUUUGGAGGUCUCUUCCUUUAGAAAGAGCGUGUCCAUGGGCCAGGGAUUUUAGCUCAGUGGUGCCACGGCCUGCCUUGCCAAGUGCAAGGUCCUGAGUUCAAUCCCUGGUACCAAAAAAAAAGAGCAUGUUAGAGUUAUGGAGGGAGCCUGGAUUUGGGAAAUCAGAGAUGAGAGUUCAAGUCCCAGCUCCACCUCUCCCUCAGCAGUCGACCUUGGCCUUGUCUGAAUUUCAGGACAGACAUUGGUGACAUUUACUGGGAAAAUGGGGGUAGAGAUGACAAAUGGGGAGGGACACGCCUCUGCGUGAAGGAAACCAGCAAAUGGUUUUUUCCUUCCACAUGGCCCCUUCCUCCCUCCAGCCCCUCCUCUUGGCCAAGAGUCAACAGAGGCCUGGAGCAAGGUCCAGAGUGAGUAUGGGGCAUGUCCACAUCUGUCCACAGGAAGUGUCUACCUGCUGAACACAAGGCUUUUCCAUCAUGUGGCCUAGGUCAGUAGGCCUUCUGCCUUCUCCUCACCUGUGGGGCCAUGGAAGGGGUGCCCUGAGAUGUCCCUGCAGGGGGACUUCCAUGUCACAUUCCCCACUUGCCUACCCAUUGUUCCCUCCAGCUGAGCCCAGCUGGUCUCUGCCACUUCCUCUGUCCUCUUGGGGUCAGCCCAAGGAGCAGCUCUGGGUAGAUCUGAUGUGGGAAGAGACUAGUGAGAGGGGCAGGAAGGGAAGCGAACAUUUUCUUGCCCUUCCCCAAAAGGCUUCCAACAGCCAGGGCAUCCUGGGAUUGACCAGGCCCCUGCCCCAACUGGAAUAACCCCUGUACUUAGCCCAGCACGCUGGGCCCAGGGCUCAGGGCUCAGGGCUCAGUAAAGUUCAUACAACUCUGAGCUGCUCUUAGUCAGCUGUCCCUGCACAGUGCCAAUUUGGGGUCUAGGUGGUUCCAUGAGCCUAGCAUUGGGAGGAAGGGGGGCUCUGCCUGCAUUGAGGGGUGCAGAGGUGGAGGAGAAGCAGGGCUGGCGCUGUGUGAAACCAAGCGGUUUCAGUUCCCAGGGAAGCGCAGUUUCAGCAUGGCGGGCAGGUUCCCUCCUCAGGAGCAGAGCUGUGACCUUCAGGUUGAAAGCAGCUCAGCUGGGCUGAAACCACAGCCUCUGAUGCACUUUCAGGUCGAGUCUCGGAGAGGAAUGAGGUGGAGAAGUUGUCUCAUCCCCGCUUCUCUUACCCAAAGCUCCAGCUGGUCCAGCCUGCAGUUCUGGGAGUCCUGCUCGGCUUUCCUCCCCACUACAGCUAGGUCUAAGCAAGAACCAAACUUCCGUGUGAAGCUCCCUGAACCCAGUCCUAACCUGGGAGAGAGGAGCGUGAAAGACCUAAGGACCCUCAAAUGUCAUACUUUGGGCUUAAUGAAAUGCCCCCUGGGGCAGAGGCUGGUGGUCAGCAGAGACUCUGGGGUUGAACUCCCAGCUACAGCUUCCCAUCUGUGCAUUCUCGUCAAGCUCUUUCUUGAUGCAAACAUUAAAGGUUUGUUUUUAAUUCCCAAUAUGUGUCCUACUCCCCAAAGCCACACGUUUGUGACGUGUUAUUCACAAGUUUAGUAGAGACUUGUUCUAUUGGUACUGCAGUGGCCAUAAAAGUGUUGAAGGGUUUUUGAAGGAGUUAAUAAAGGUUUAGGUAAGAGGUGCUCGGGAGAUCGAGAGACUGCCAAGCACUCGAGAGCAGAGUGUAUAGAUGCCAGACCCCUGUUUCCAGGGCGAACAGGAAGGAGAGGCAGGUGGUCUACGGAGUGAGUUGCAUUAUGGGUAAUCAGCCCCACCUGAGCCAGAGUUUGGCCCCAGAUUUCCUCUACUAGAAUGUGCUGUUUCUCUGAGAAUAAAAGGCACCUCCCCAGUGGCAGUGACUGCAGAGUCCCUCUCAGUCCUGCCCUUGUCUGACUGAGGCCAUCCUCCAGUCCAAAGCACAUCUUGUCCCCUCCGAGGGGAGCCACAACCCAUAGCCUUGUUACACGAACUUCUAAAGGGAAAAAGAGGGAAAUAGGGGAGGAACUCGCCAAGGUUCCUCCAUCCAGGAAAGAUAACCGCUCCCAGGGUCACUUUGAUUUCCAAACAUUAAUUAGCAUACAUCCUGAUAGAAUCCCUGGUGCAGGUGGAACUGCUUUAGAUAGUAAUUGCUUAUGGGAAGGAGGAGAGAUCAGAUGGGGUGCAGCCUGAGAGGAGCUCUACAGCAUUCCGCCAGGCCCCACCCUUGCCAAGCAGAGUGACCAGGAUGUCCACGCUAUGCACCUAGAGGAGCCUUGGGGGAUCCCGUCGGGUGGAUUUUGUUGUGCUGCUUUGUUUUGUUUUGCACUGUUACUCUAGAACAAGAAACAGCAAGGUCUGAUGUUGAUUCAAUAUUGAAUCAGUGGAUCUUUGACCACGUGAGUCACAGAAGUUGAUUCCACCAGCGUCAACCCAGGGCUGGCCAACCAGAGUGGGUAUCCCCACUGUGAGGGACUCUGCCCUGCUGCAAGGCCCCAGAAGAUCAAAGCUUGAGAGGCCGGGGUCUGGGUGGAAUGAGGUCAUCCAGGAAAAAUCCCUGAGGUACAGAAUCCACCACCUGGACCCCAGAAAGGCCAUUACCAAAGCCAAGGUUGCAAGAUGGCAUUUCUCCAGAUUCCACAAAUCUCCUGAGCAGUUGCAAUUGAUUUUCCCCCAAGCCUAGUCUCUCUCUUCCAUAGAAGUAAGGCCUGUGAUUUUGGGAGGGCACCUGGAUGAUCCCCCAACCUCCCUUGCAGUUUAGCAUGACUUUAUAACACAAUUCUCGCCAUUGGGCUUAAAACAGUGUAUGAAAAUUCCAGAAGUGGUUUUAUAAAGCAAUGUUAGGUCCUUUUUCCCUGCCCCUCUCCCCAGGCUUUUCUCUUUCCACUGGCUCUAUUGUAGAUACAAUGGCUGGAGCUCCAGCAGUCAUCUGAGACAGUGAGAUAACCCACAGAGGCCACACAUAGUAGAAGGAUAAGAUUAAAGAUGCCCAGGCCCCUGCAGCCAUGGAGUGCCACUGUAACCAUGGACUGACCACCUCUGAAUGUCUAGAAGACAAGACAUAGAUAAACUUCUACCUUGUCUCUGCAGUAGCACACAACUAAGUCUGAUCGUGACACAUCUCCUUAAAAGUUUGCAUAUUUUUUCACUUUUUUAGUUAUUCUAAUAUUUCCUUUUCUAACAAUUCUAGUUAUUCAGUUCAUAGAAAUAACAUUAGCUAGAAUUUACGGAGUACUUAUACUUAGGCACUGGUCUAAGUGCUUUAUGUGAAUUAAUUCAUUUGUCACAGCAAUCUUUAAAGUAGACACUUCUUUCUCUUCAAGGACGCCUACUCCAAGAUCACUUCCAAUACCAAAAGACGUGAAACAACCCAUAUUGGCAGGUGUCUGACUGGAAGAUUGUGUGUCUGUGUGUGUUUGUAUUAGGAGAAUUACACAGCUUGAUCUGCUGUGUAUUGACAUGGAAAAAUUUCCCAGUUCUCAAAGCUCCAUGAUUCUGUGACUAGAAGAUACUAUAAGACCUAAUUGAAGACUCACACUUCUCUUCCUAAGGAAAGCCUGAAAUGGAACAUUUUGAUAGAUUUUUUUUUUUUUUUUUACUACCUUUGUUCUAGAAUGAGUCUAAAGUCAUCCAAAAACCCAGUCAGAAUUUGCAUUCCUCAAGCUUCUGGCUAACUGAGCCACCUCUCUCCCCACUCAGGAUUCAGUCAGUCAAGAUCAAACAAAAUCCUUUCCAAGUUCGCAUCAUGGUUAUACAUGGUCAGGGAAAUUUAAAAAUAAAACAAAAGUAAGGCCCCAACUUUAUCCAUGUCCUCCCAAACCUAUGCAAUCUCAAUAUUAAAAAAUCCUGUAGACGAGGCCUAGGAUUAAAUGUCCAAGACCAUGACUUUAAGUCCUGCACCUUAAGAAAGAAAGUCGCUUUUCCCCUCUGUCUUGAGUUGGGAUCUGUAAGACUUGGCUCACAAGGCUGCAGGAUGGUUAAGCAGCACAAGUUAGGCACAUGGUGAAUAAACAGAAGAUUCUUUCCUUUCCUUCCUGAUCCAUGCAACACCUCACACAUUUUCUAUCUCCCGUGAUCCUCGUCACAGUUCUGUGGGGUGUGUGACAUGGAUGUCACCCUCACUCAAUGGAGGAGGAAAUGGAGACCCGGAAACAGGAAGAAACAAGUCCACACUAGGGCUUUGUACCCAGCAGUCAGCUCUUCCAGCUGACCCCUCGGAGCGGAGACCCUGACUAUGCCUCCUCCACACAGCAGAGUGACAGAGCAGGAAGCUGGCCAUGGAGAACUUGGUCUCUGGAGCCAGGCAGCCUGGGUGCGAGUUCCCACACCUGUCACUGUGGUCCGUGUGACUUUGGAAAGGUGGCUUAACCCUCUGCACCUUAGCUCCCUCAUCAUAACUCAGGGAUCACCAAAAGGUGCGAGGUUGAUGCAGAGGAUUCCAUGUACUAUUUUGCUUGAGUACCAGAAGUCUUCUUUUCUAAUCUCCCCACCUAUGGCUGGCACCUUUCCUGAAGAAUACCUGCAUGCCUGGGUUUAUUCUCUCUGUGCCUGGGGUCUAUGCUCAAACCUCAGCACAGAAAGUGACAUCGUGGAAGCCCAUGGUCUCCUCUAUGGGGUGCCAGACCCCUGGCUAGGAGCUCAUGUGGAGGAGAAUUUCCACCUCCAAACCAGAAGGGCAGACUGGGCCAUGCACCAGAGAGCAGGAAGGAAGCCCCGUGCCUGUGCCCACUGUCCAGGCCGCUGCGCCUUGUAAACUCUCCUGGGUGGGACAUAGCCCUCCACAGCUGGCUCCUGUAUACAUUUACAUGGGGAUGAAGUGGAUGAAUUGGCCUGAUUCACAAAUGCUCCUGUUUAAUUUGGAGCCAGGAGCACCCGGCUGCCAAAUGGAAUGGCUGUCUUAGAAAGCGCUUGUGUAUUUUAAAGGAACAUUGUGUGCAUUUAACCAGAGAUUUCCUCUGUGUGUUUAUUUCCAGUGGCACAAGUGCCCAGGAGUGGUAAGUUUGCUGCUUCUCAUCUGUGGUUGCUGGGGCCAGAUGACAGGCCCACCUGGAGCCACUGGGCCAGGGGCGACUGCGGUGACUUGGAAGUCACUGGAGUUCCCCCUGUUUUUCCCAUUGUUCAGAAGGUGAUGGGAGGAGGAUGGGGGCCAGUUUUGUGGAGAGCAAAAAUUCUGGACAGCUUUCUGAAGUCCUGGAUGCCUGAUGAUACGAUGAUAGAUUUGUUAUGUGUUUUAUCCAAGUCAUCGUCAAUGGAACAUUUGCUAUUUAGAUGUUGCUUUGCAGGUUCGAAUCCUUUCACACCCUCUCCUCCCAAAUCUCUAGGUACAAGGAAGCAAGAAUCUCAGAAUCCAGCCCCAGUUGGAAGAGACCUUGGGGGGUAAACUCAGGUUCAAGUCUUGGGUCUUCAUCCCUUGUCUUUGACCUUAAAGCCCCAAGGGGCUGGGGAUUUAGCUCAGUAGUUUCACUACCUGCUGCACAAGUGCAAGGACCCGAGUUCGAUCCCCAGUACCAAAAAAAAAAAAAAGCUUAGCCCCUUUGACCUUCAGGUUAUUCCUCUCCCAGAAGGACGAUGGCCAACACCUCCACAGCAAUCCUUUGCUCUCACCUAAUGCUUUUCACCACCAAAUGGGUUUCCCAUCAAUAUCUCAUUUAAAUAUGCCAGGCCUGGCCACCAAGGUCAGGGUGAGCAUAGACUACUGGCUGUCUCUGAUGCCAUGAGCUGGCAUCUGGCCACCCUACAUCCACCGUGGAGAGGCCAGAAACCCCUGUGAGAUCGGAACAGAGAAUCCAGGGAGAGGAAGCCGCCUGCAAUCGGGUGUGCUGGCUGGGGGUGAGCAGCCACCCAGGUAUCCCAAGGAGACAGCUUGGUCCCAGACAGGUGACCUGUGGUGUCAGCCCCUCUUCUUGUGCACAGGUGCUGCUUGGCUUGGGGGUGACUCUUCACUGCCCUUGAGAUUGGGUGCUAAUCCUUCACUUCAUGCCUGGAAGUUUUAAUAAGAACAUAGCCAUUAUGGAAACUUGAUUUUAUAUUCAGAAACUGAUUUUUUUUUUCCAGUACUGGGGAUUGAUCCCAGGGCCUUCUCACUGAGCUACUGAGACAGGAUUUUCACUAGUCACUAACUUAAAUUGUCAGGGGUGGGCUCAAACUUGUGAUCCUCCUGCCUUAGCCCUCCUAGAGUUUGGGGUUACAGGUGUGCACGACUGUUUCUGGUUAGACAUUGAUUCUUUAAAUGAUUCACAUAAUACACAUUGCAAAGAUAUAAAGCAUGGCAAAACCUUGCCCUAUAGGGAUGUAAAUAAAAAUAAGCCCAGUCCUGUCCAUGGCAGGGGCCAGGAUUUGGUCAGCAUAAAAUUGUUGUACUUCUCAGCAGAUAAGAAGUUAAUGCAAAGGAAAAUCCUGGGCUCCUGGAUCUCUUUGGGCUCCCUCGGGCUGCAGGAUUAUAAGUGUCACCUGGGGAAGAAAGAAAGGGUAGAAGAGAAUCUCGGGCCUCCGAGCGUAGUGAGAUUGAGGGCUGUUUGUUGUCACACAGCUUUAUUUUUUUUCUGCCCCUGGCUCUAGUCCAGUGCUCACUGAGGCAGGAAGAGGCUUUCAAGGGUGGGCAGAGGCAUUGGGGAGUGGCAGUCUCAGGUCUUAGAGGCUUGGAACUUUUCUGUCAGCCUCUUCACAAAGUGGUUGAAUGCUGCAAUUCAAAUGACCAUUCCAGAAGGUUCCAGAGUCUUCACAGAAGUUCUCAAGCCAUGAGUCAAGUUGAAACACUCUGCAGAAUGUGUAGAGGUCAGACGAGAGGCUGGAAAUAUGGCUCUUUCGCUCCAGAAUACCUGUGCCAAGCCAUCUCCCCACCCUCUAUGGGGAUGACGCUUUAUUUUGUCACCUGGAUUGGCUUGGGAGCUGCCCCAGGGAUUAGUAAGAAUGCUCUGUGUCUUACUAAUGGCCAUGAGCUUGGGGACUAUAUCUAGUUCCUAGUUCCUUCCUCUUUAGUGCUGUUCCCUUGCUCGGCUUCCCAGCCACCAUGAACUGAGUAGCUUUGUUCCACCAGGCUGGUCCGCCACAAUGUUUCUCCUUUGGAGCUAGCCAACCAUGGACUGAAAUCUCUGAAACCAUGUGUCAAAUAAACCUCUCCUCCUUUGAGUCAUCGGGUGCUGGGUAUUCUGUCCCAGUGAUGGGAAAGGUGACUGAUAUACCCGCUACCCAUCCCCCACCUGAGCCAAGCAUGCAAAGGACCCUGGGUGGAUCCUGCUGCUUUAAUACCAAGUUCGAGCCUCUGGAAACCAACUGUCGGCUACGUUGCUCCCCCAGCGGCACUGCUCCAGCACUCCUGGUAAGGAUGGGUGGAAACUGCAGAAAGCAAGAUCCAGCCAGCUGUUGGCCCUCCCUGCACCGCCCAGAGCAUCCCUCUCCUGUCCCAUGGGCCUAUCUGAUGGAAAGUUGGCCCAUCUUUGCCACAGUAAGUAAAAACCAGCACCCGGACAGCUGCAGGAGGAAGCACCUGCCUGGAGACCCCACCUGGGCUGCCAAGGCCCCAGACCCCAUGAGAAAUGAAGACCCAGGAGGCUGUGCCAUAGGCUGUGCUGGAGCCCUGGCCCUGUGCAUUACGGAACUGUAGCCAGCCAGCUUGUGGGACAGGGUGACACCUUUCUAUCCCUGGACAUCAGAUGCCAAGAGCAGGUGCUCAUCACGGUCUAAGAAAAAGAGUUAAAAGUUGUCCAAGAAUCACCUGAUUGGGGAAUUCACUGAGGGUUACUCUAAUGUCCAGCCAAAGCCAGCAGUGACUGACACUUCAUAGUUUCCAGUGGGCUCAGUCCAUGGCCUGCUGGCUCCAAGGCAGAGACAACAUGGUGGAAGGGCUUGGUGGAGGAAAAUUGCUCAUGGUGGCCAGGAAACAGACAGGAGGAGCCUGAGAUGUGAACAUACCCUUCCACCUCACAACCCAAUGACUCACCCCUUCCUACCAGACCCCACCUCCAAAAGUGAGGCUUUUGGGGACAUCUUAGAUGUAAACUAUAACAACCUGGGACCUCAUGGCUGGAGAGUGUCCCCGUUCUUAGGGAACCAAGACAUGUCACCCAAGGUUGGGGCAGUCUGGAGACUCGGGACUCUUUCCCCACGUUCAGAUCCACCCCUUCAUCCCAUCCACAGUGUCCCUGUCAACCACCAAGACCAAUGGUGGGUUCUGAGAAGAAGGUGAUGGAGGUGUGACCUGAUUUCUCAGUGGCUGUUGGGGUUGAGAGACAGGGAGAGCCAUGAGGAGACCGCUAGGGCGACUCGUGGGAUGGAACAGUGGGGAUUGUGAGAAGUCUUACUUGGGUGCUCAUUUAAGGCAGGGCCAACAGGCUGUCCUGGCAGACUGGACCUGGAGGGUGAGAGGAAGGAGAAAGCCAGUGCAGUUCCAAUGGAUUUGUCGCACCUUGGAGAAGGCAGCUGCUGUUGGAAGAGAACCCCCCCCCCGCCUUGAAGUGGGAGGGACUGAACCAAGAAUGUGUCCACCAGCAAGGCCAUCUUCUGCCUCUGCUCUAUCCUCCCAGGCUUCGGGUCUCUCUGUUCAAUAAGGGAAAUAAGACCCAACUGAUUGCUUACGGAAACACCAGACCUUAUUACAAAUGAACACUUUCCCCAGAGCUCUCAUGUCCGGAAGUCAGACACGUUUACUCUGGGGCAGCUGCCAACAUAUCUUUGGAAUCCUUUUCUAGGGAUUGAGUUGAUUUAUGGCCCAUCCAAGAAAAAUCAGUCUUAUCGUUUCUCUCCAGAAGGUCAGUUGAAACAUUUACUGUGUAAAUCAGACCUGACUCUUCCAAACAUUGAAACUUUUUUCCCCAGGAUGACCAUCUGCCACCAUGCAGAAUAAGCAAAUCUCCAGCUGUGGCCAUCUCAUUGGAAAACCAACUAUGAUUCCAGGCAGGAUGAAUUUUCCUCUGUACUCCAGCACCCACGGGUGGCAGUGAGGACCCUUGCUCUCCUGAGCUCCAGCUCCCCUGCCCUUGACACUGGGCGAGAGGCAGAGUGAGGGCUUCGUGACAGCCCAGCACUCACCUGGCUAGAAAGACCGUAUGAUCUGGCUUUAAAACAGUGUCACUUUGUCAUUUAUGAUCCACAAGGCUUUCUCUUAGCAUCUCUUUCAUCAUUCUAGAGGUGAGAAAACCCUCUGAACCCAGUUUGCUCAUUCGUGAAAGGUGGCCAAUGACGAUUGUAUCCUUCUCCCAGGACAGUUUGGAAGAGGAACACACUACUGCCAACAAAGAACCUCACACACUGUGCAGGCAGCUCUUGAGCGACCUGGACACAUUGCUGUCCUCCACCCUCACGUGGGAUCAUGGUCACUAGACCACGGCGCACCUUUUGCUUUUCCUGGAGGAACACACUUUCUGGCUCCAGCUGAUACUGUGCUGUCUUCCUCACCCUCGUCUGGUUUUCCCCAGAUCCCCUCUGAGCACCUCUGUAGCUUGGAUGGUUGUGGGGUUGGGUGGCCACCUUGCCAUGUCUCCCCUCCUCUGAGGGCAGGCAGGUGGCCCUCCUGCCCAAGCCAGCACCCCAAAUUAUCAGCCACCUCUGUUUCCUCCACAUCUGCCAAGCAGUUGUCAGCUGCUGCCUGGAUUUUUCUCCACGGAACAGCACAGACUUUGCAGCACAAGGUGGGACCCUGGGCUGGCCCUACACGAGGGGCCAUGAGACCUGUCCGUCAAGCCUCAGAGUCCUCCCUCUCCAUCGAGUUUUCCAUUGACCUGAGAAAUGGCCAUCGGCUGCUGCCGGGGGACUUUUCUUCCUUCAAGAGAAUUUUAGAGACAUUUUAACACGGGGGCUUCUGAAAUCCAUGAUUCAUGCUUAAAAUCUGAUUCACUAGUAGAUCGGUUGUGUGAAAUGAGUUUGGGCCAAAAUGUCUUCUAGAAGGACACACGCAUGCAUGCAUACACACAUAGAUUAAAGAAUCGCCUUCCAUUCGCUCCUUGGAAUACAAGUUAGGGUGGACCCUCAAGACAGCUUGAGGAUCUCCUCCAUCCCCUUCUUUCCUUCCUUCCCCUCCUCCCCUAACCCUUAAAGAAGAUCCACAUACCCCAGUUGAUCUGCUCAUUGUCCAAAUUAGAUGAGAAAAUGGAUUUAAAAGUUCCUUGCUCUGUGCCGGUCCCUAAUAGUCACUUUAUUAAUGAUUGGUUAAUUGUUUUCCAUCCCUCACAUCUGCACACCAAAACACCGAAGGUGGAAUCUCUGGGCCGUGAAUGUCCUUGUUGUACAUAUCCUUCAUCCCAUCUCGGCCCAGCUGCAACAGCCCAGCCGUGCCUGUCUUUGUUUCUGAGUCUCUGGACUUUGUAGAAACUUCCAACCCCUCGACUUGACAAAUGACUUUCUAAGUGGAGGGGGUUUUACAUUUAAUAUGCAUCAUGAGAAACAUCAGAGCUAUGCUCAGGAGAUCAAAUGGUUUCUUCAGCUAAGAAUGUAAGCAUUAUCCCUAUUAAUAUCUUUCCAACAAAGGCCCAGGCUCCCCACCCCCGACAACUCUAUGAUCUCAGUUUAUUAACAUUGCCAGUCUCCCCCACUUGCUGCCCCUGCUGCAGACUGGGUCACAGUCUAAGGUCCACCCUCCACACACACACUGCCUUGGCAGGGCUGCACAGGGGAAAAAACUCUCUGUCAUCAUAAAUCAUAAAAUCAAACAACCAAACGCCAUCUCCGGGGAAAUAAAUUCUGAAGAGCUAAGGAGGGAAAAGGGGGGGCUAUGAUUAUUUUAAUCCUAUUCCAGAUGCUCUGGUCUGCUCCCUAAACAAAACCUGAAUUAAUUGCAAGCCUUAGUCAAAGAGAUAAUAGCUGCAUGCGGGUGUAGGCAAUGUUGGGCAAGGAAUAGUUGCUCAGUUAAUGUUUAUGUAAAAAUAAAUGAGUGUAAAUGCACAAGAGUUCUGUGGACGCCGCCUUUGCCAGACAAGAUGGCUCAUUGUGACAGAGUUCCCCACAGCGUCCCUACCCAGUGACCUGGGUGCUCUGCUUUUCAAAAGCACCUUCAUACUUACUAGCUAGUUUGACUCGAGCAGCAAUCGAAGCUUGCACUUGGCCUUGGGAGAAUGCACUUCUGUAAAAGCCUCAAAGAGUGGACUGAGGUGACACUUGCACGCAGAAGCGUGCACACACACACACAUGCACGCGUGGAGGAAAAGCUGUUCUCAUAAGAAUUUUGAACCAUUGAAAGAUGUCAAAACCUCUGUGAGUACACAAAGGCAUACUGAUUCUUUACCAAAACCGGAAUGAAUUAAAAUCACUUACACUCUUCUUUACCACCCCUCAAAAGUGUCGUCGAGGAUGGACACUUUGGCUCCAAAGGGCAAAAGGGCCACAGAAGCGCCCUGGUGUUCAGCCACCCAAUCCUGAAACCAAUGACAAAAUGAAGGGCUCCCUGGGCCUCCUCUUAUGCAUUACAAGAUGGGAAGGAGAUGCCUGGCGCUACCCUACAUGCCAGGAUUCUUGGGUGAAUAAAAGCAGACAAGGUAAAAAAGAUCUCAGAAGAGCAGAAAUGGAAGAACAGUAGGGGAAGGACAGACAGCAUGGGGUGAGCCAGGGUGCUUGGUGCCAAAAUGGCACCAGGUGACAGGAGUAACAACACCCAGGUCGUCUUGGUUCUGGUUUGUGGUCCCAGACGGCUUGCUGCAGGAUCGGGCAUUCUGUGGGGCCAGAGCCUAGGCUAUCUGGAAGACCCCAGAGCUGGGAGGCCACCAGCUGAGUGACCUGGAGCUGACCCGUGCCUCCCAGCUCCUCCACUCCCUUCCGGGUCCAGGGCUCACACCUUUGCCUCCUGGAGGCCACGUAAGAAGCAGGCAGGUGCUGGGGCCUGGCACACAGAGAGGCUGCCCAGAUGUGGCCUUCACUCCCAAGACCCUCUGGGGGCAGGGGCUUCCUCACUGUUUCCAGUCUGCUCUUUUCUCAAAUUCUGCUUCAUCGCUCCGGGUUUCCUCCCACAGCCCUCUCUCUCUGUGGCCCAGCCCGGCCCGCCAGGAGCCUUGGAAAGUCGCGUUGUGCAGAGAAGCAGAUGGCUCUGCCUCCUCCUCCAUCCCCUGCUAAGUGGAUCUGGUGCCCUGAGGACUGCAGCCCUGGGGGAUGGCAGGGAGGGCACCUGGCCCACACACCUGCUCUGGAUCCUGAGGUCCACCAGCUGCUUCCCACUCAAAAGCAAGAAGCCAGUCCUGGGGCCUGGCCUCUACUGCAGCACUGCAUGCCACAUGUGCAUCCCUUGCUACCUUACUUAUUCAGUGGCAUCUGACAAGAAACUGCUACACCAAUCACCAAGCGCUAUGCCUACAUCAGAGGGGUCUCUGGAACUCUGCUGUCCAACAGGUCACUUCUAGACACAUGCAACUACACAAAUGUACAUGAGUCCGAUUAAAUUUAAGAUUCAGUUUCUGGCCAGGUGUGAUGGUGCAUGCCUAUAAUCUCAGCGCUCUGGGAGGCUGAGCCAGGAGGAUUGUAAAAGCCCAGCCAACUUAAUGAUUUAGCAAGACCCUGUCUCAAAAUUUGAGACAAAAAAUUUUACAGAUACAGGGCUGUAGCUCAAUGCAAAGGCCCUGGAU